AAUGGCGUUAGUCUGACAGCUUUCUCAUUACUAUGCACUGAGAGCAUCUCUAACCAAGCCUGUCAGAUCUCAAGCAGUCAGGGGCCUUGAAAACUUGGAGUCCAUUCUUCAGUCUUGUGCUGUGGUUUUGAAGGUUUCAGCAAGUGAAGGAGAAGGAAGCCCAUGCGGGCGUUCCCUGCUAUCAGGACACCCCAGCGGAUUCCCUGCCAUCGUGUUCUGGAAGAGGACGGCACUGGGCAGUUUUAUGUGGCUGUGACAAAAUGCCCAAGACAAACAACUGAAAGGAGGAAAGGGUUAUUUUUGUUCAUGGUUUCAGAAGGUUCAGACCCCGUGGCUUUGGGCUGAUGGCAGCGCAGCCUGUAGCUGAUAGGGAGUUUAGCAAGGGGCUGUCUGUCUAUGGUUGCUAAUUUUGGUUGUCAACUUGACUGCACCAGGAAUGAACUAAACCAUAGCUGCUGGACAUUCCUGGGUGGGGGGUUCUUGAUCAGAUUUCCUGAAGCAGAAAGAUCCACCCUAAAUCUGGGCAGCACUUCCUGUGGCAGCCCAGAUGAAAGGACAUGGAAGAAGGACACUGCUUUUUGCCUGGUUGCUCCCACUCCUGCUGACAAGACCAUCUGUCCUGUUGCUGUGGUAUUCCUUCACUGAUUUUAUAACAACUCCUUAAGGAUCCAAGGUAGCCUGAAGACCAGCAGCUCUCCAGGGAUCCUUCGGCUCUUCAGUGCCAGAUUGGAGCUGCUGGGACACUCCGCCUCUUUACUGAACAGCUGUUGGAUUCUCUGUCUCUCAAUUGUGAGACAACAGCCAUUGUUGGACCAAAUCUGACUGCUGUUCUCUGAAUGUUGGUACAACUGGUUGGGUUUGAUUUUCCUUAUGAAGUGCUGAGAAUGGAACCCAGAGCCCUACACAUGCCAAAAUGACAUAUAUACCUGGGCUGUACAGUAUACAGCCUAUUCUAUUCCGGCUACGAUGGACAACAAAACACAAGACUAAAUCAAGCAUGAGAGCCAAUGAUGCAAUCAAGAGACUGGGAAGAUAUGGCAUGCAGGGUACCACGGCAGAAUGCCAUACUGGAAACAUUUCUAAUGUAAAUAGAGUUCCAGAAGCAAUGAACAGUUGCUCGAGGAAGAGACUCUGACCAGCUGGGCCGCCCGAGGAAGUGGAGCCACCAAGAGGAGACUUGAGAUUCCUGAAAAUGGUGCCGAGAGCUCCAGGCUUGCAGCUUUCAUGAGUCCUCAUGCAUGCAGGGGUGCACCACCAAUGAUGCAGCUGCCUUUCAGUUACCCUGCCUUUUUGUUUGUUUGUUUGUUUGUUUGUUUGUUUUUUGGUUUUUCGAGACAGGAUUUCUCUGUGUAGUUUUGGUGCCUGUCCUGGAUCUUGCUCUGUUGACCAGGCUGGCCUUGAACUCACAAAGAUCCACCUGGCUCUGCUUCCCGAGUGCUGGGAUCAAAGGCAUGCUCCACCACUGCCUGGCUAUCCUGCCUUUUGUAAGUAGCUUCUCAUCCAUAUUCCUGUAAGGACCCUCAAUAAACUCAUUGGUUCACCAAAUUGGACUUUGGUGUUGGUGUAAUGUUAAUUUUGAUCUGUGGCUUUCUAUCUUCCCUAUAUGGAGGGUGUCCUAUCUCUCCAGGAAAAGUCUCUCACAAUAAUGCUGAGAAGCAGUCAGAGUCUGGAUGUAUUUUGAGAUUAGAUAUGAGGAAAUAGAUGUGAUAUAUGUGCAAAGAGAUUGUCAUCCAGACUGACACCAAGAUUCU